CGCCUGUGGACCGGGCCGUGGGCGGGAGCCUCGGCCAGCACCUUCUCAGGCCGCUCCCUGUUGGGCUGGCCGGGACCGGACCGUGGUCAGCACCUCCCCAGGCCGCUCCCUGGAGGGCACUGGCCAGGACGGGACCGUGGUCAGCACCUCCCUGUUGGGCUGUCCGGGACUGGACUGUGGUCAGCAGCUCCAAAGGCCGCUCCCUGUUGGGCUGCCCGGGACGGGACCGUGGUCAGCACCUCCCCAGGUCGCUCCCUGGAGGGCUGCCCGGGACGGGACCGUGGUCAGCACCUCCCCAGGUCGCUCCCUGGAGGGCUGCCCGGGACGGGACCGUGGUCAGCACCUCCCUGUUGGGCUGGCCGGGACCGGAACGUGGUCAGCACCUCCCCAGCUCGCUCCCUGAAGGGCUGCCCGGGACGGGACCGUGGUCAGCACCUCCCCAGGCCGCUCCCUGGAGGGCACUGCCCGGGACCGGACCGUGGUCAGCACCUCCCUGGAGGGCUGCCCGGGACGGGACCGUGGUCAGCACCUCCCCAGGCCGCUCCCUGGAGGGCACUGGCCAGGACUGGACCGUGGUCAGCACCUCCCUGUUGGGCUGCCCGGGACUGGACUGUGGUCAGCAGCUCCCCGGCCGCUCCCUGGAGGGCACUGGCCGGGACUGGACUGUGGUCAGCACCUCCCUGGCCGCUCCCUGGAGGGCACAGGCCCGCGUUUCGGCUCUGGGGCCUCGCAGGACCGUCCCGGGCGGUCUGCGGGGAGCGAGCCCAGGCCACGAAGCACUUCCGGGGAGCCAGGGCGCCGAGCGGCCACGUGCGAGCCGAGUGUAGAGGGGAGACGCCACCUGGCCGGGCGCGGAGUCGGGUGGCGGAGCGUUCGUUUACAGUGAGAAGUGCCCGGAUGUGGAGGGUCUUUUUGAGAGAGUCACAGCCCUGCGGCCUCGGGCGGGUGGAGAUGGGGGACAGGACCGCCGUCCUGGUCUGCACUUCCGGGGCCGGCGGCCGCCUCCUCAGAGUCACCUCUCCCGAGGCCCCAGCAGUACCGGGGCGCAUGCGCUCUCGCUCGCCGCCGCGCGCCCACUGCGCCAAUCAGAAGCCACCGGUCGUCCUAGGCCGCUUUGGGAGAGGGUCUUCUUGCCACCGUCCACUGACCAAUCGGCUGGUGACGUAG
rnacentral:lncRNA from 1 species